rnacentral:tmRNA from 1 species
CGCACGCACACAAGUCCGUAUAGAGUCAAGCCUCGGGGCUUUAUACCAAACUUAGAGGAUCGCACUUUGUACCCUGUUCGUCGGGUCACUUGGUGUUAAAACAAUAGACGAUAUCUAAGCAUGUAGUAUUCUCGAGCGUAGUGCUGGCGGACGCGGGUUCAACUCCCGCCAUCUCCACCA